UUUCCGUAGGUGAACCUGCGGAAGGAUCAUUGUCGAUCAACU
rnacentral:rRNA from 1 species